GCCCAGUCCUCACUUUGGUACAGUGAAACCGCGAAUGGCUCAUUAAAUCAGCUACUAUUUAUUGGAUCGUUAACAGUUACUUGGAUAACUGUGGGAAUUCUAGAGCUAAUACAUGCCGAAAGUCGCUGCUACAGGUGAGCAGCGCGCAGUUAUUAGUCCAAAACUAAUCGGCUCUCUUCGGAGACCGUUUCCUUUGGUGACUCUAGAUAACGAUCAGUUGAUCGCAUGGCCUCGAGCCGGCGACGUAUCCUUCAAGUGGCUGACCUAUCAACUAUCGAUGGUACGUUAAAUGCCUACCAUGGUGAUAACGGGUCACGGGGAAUCGGGGUUUGAUUCCGGAGAGGGAGCCUUAGAAAUGGCUACCACAUCCAAGGAUGGCAGCAGGCGCGCAAAUUACCCACUCCCAGCUCGGGGAGGUAGUGACGAAAAAUAACGAUGCGGGACUCUAAGAGGCCCCGUAAUUGGAAUGAGUACAACCUAAAAAGUUGUGCGAGUAUCGAUU
rnacentral:rRNA from 1 species